AGGUAACCCCCCCAAGAACUUCUAAAUUAAAGUUAAUAAAAUGUAUUAUUUGAGAGUAUUAAUUUCCAUUAGUUUUGUGUAAAAAUUAAAUUUAGAAACCUAAUAUUUUUGGAAAUUAAUAUGAUAUUAAAUAAAUGUUGAAUCAAUGUUUUUGAAUAUUAAUUAAAUUACAAUCUUUUCAAUAUUUGGCAGACAUUACAAUUCAAUGGACAUUGGACGUUUUUGCAAUGUUUUUUUUAACGUAAUCUAUAUUUAGUAACGUUGAUGAAAUAUUCAAUAUUAGAAUUCAACAUUGUGCUACAUGUACUACAUAAAUUAUAGCAGUUUUUACGCUUCAGUAAAGCUUGAAUUAAGAAAUAUCUUCGACAUUAUACAAGUAUGAAACAUCUACUGAUGGACAUUAUUGAAAAUUAGAAAUGCUUAACUUCUUAAGCGUUUCUAACUUUAUUAUUAUAUCAAUAUAUCGUAAGCAUUCUUUCUGUAUAUAUUUUACUUUUCUUACAACAUAAAAUCUUAUGUCUACAAUCUACAUAAAUGUAUUUAUAAAAAUAUUAAAAUGCACACUU